ensembl:snoRNA
AAAGUCCUGUAUGAGAAGGGCAGCAGUUUCCCGAGGCUGUUGGUUUCAAGCUGGAGCCUAAAGAGAUGUCUUUCUAUGGUCUGUUGGCCAUUUCAGAACUUGGGCAGUGAAAUGGUCAGUUCAUUAGAAAGAAACAGCU